CCUACGGGAGGCUGCAGUGGGGAAUGUUGCGCAAUGCUCGUAAGAGUGACGCAGCGACGCCGCGUGAAUGACGAAGGCCUUCGGGUCGUAAAGUUCUUUCGAUAGGGAAGAAAAUGCAUAUAAGUAACUGUGUAUGUAUUGACGGUACCUGUAGAAGCAGCCCCGGCUAACUCCGUGCCAGCAGCCGCGGUAAUACGGAGGGGGCGAGCGUUGUCCGGAGUGACUGGGCGUAAAGAGCACGUAGGCGGUGUUGUAAGUCAUUAGUCAAAGACUAGAGCUCAACUUUAGUAAGGCUAGUGAUACUUUCAUACUAGAGUAUCAGAGAGGAUUGCCGAAUUCCUGGUGUAGCGGU
rnacentral:rRNA from 1 species